UCUCUUCUAAAUCGUAAACAAAAUGAACCAUUGGAUUCAUUUCUACUUUUUCAACUUUUUCAACGAAGUGAGAAAGUGAGAGCAUGUUCCGACAAGAGACAGAGUGAGAUCUUACUGAGAGUGUCGAGAAACCAGAAAAUGGAAAAGGAAAGGGUUGGAUCCGCAUUCCAGUAAAACGACGCCGUGCUGCUGCGCAUCCAAAUCCUCUCUUCUUUUUGUUCAAUGGCGGAAUCUGAAUCGCAAGGUCCUUCAUGGAUCUCCUAUGCAGUGUCGUUGUUGAUCGUUCUUCUAAUAGUGCUUCACGUCUUCGCCUUGGUCUAUUGGAUUUAUAGAUUGGCCACUGACAAUAGGUCGCAACAGCAGCAGCAACAACAACAACAAGAACUUCAGCAAGUGAGAAGAAAAGCUCACUGAUUGAAUUAAAAAAAAAAAAUCUCAUUUAGUUUCGUUUUCUACAAACAAUUGUUGUGUGAAAUUAUGUGCAUUAGAUGAUAGGAUUUUUGUUUUUUUUUUUUGUGUAAGAGUGGUGAAUGAGGUUUCUGUUUAUUUUUAAAUUGAGUGUUAGUGAUAUAGUCAACAUUGCUUGCUUUCACAAGCUAGAGUGUGAUUUGUUGUGCCAAAAUUGAAUAAUCUCCGAGGAGUAGAAUCUUGCUGCAAUUUAGUUCAUCUUAUGUUCUUUGUAUUGUGUGCUUUGUGUCUUUGGAUAAAGUUUUUCAUAGAUACUUCAA